GUACAUUAUGGGUUAAGCAUUGUGAGGGAAACCUAGGCUUUUUUGUGUUAGUAUCUUCUUGAAUUUUACAGAUAAUCUCACUCAGUAACCUCAUUUGUGCUUCAAAUCCUUGAAAUCGUUGUAUAAGAACAGUGUAAGACCUGUAUGUUGUAUGCUACAUGUUUAUUUUAAAAUUCUAAUCCUGAGAAGUUAAUCUUUGUCUGGCUCGUAUUAAUACUGGCAUUUUUCCCCGGCUAUGGAUGAAAUGAAUGGCAAAGAAAUAGAAGGGGAAGAAAUUGAAAUAGUCUUAGCCAAGCCACCAGACAAGAAAAGGAAAGAGCGCCAAGCUGCUAGACAGGCCUCCAGAAGCACUGCGUAUGAAGAUUAUUACUACCACCCUCCUCCUCGCAUGCCACCUCCAAUUAGAGGUCGGGGUCGUGGUGGGGGGAGAGGUGGAUAUGGCUACCCUCCAGAUUACUAUGGCUAUGAAGAUUACUAUGAUGAUUACUAUGGUUAUGAUUAUCACGACUAUCGUGGAGGCUAUGAAGAUCCCUACUACGGCUAUGAUGAUGGCUAUGCAGUAAGAGGAAGAGGAGGAGGAAGGGGAGGGCGAGGUGCUCCACCACCACCAAGGGGGAGGGGAGCACCACCUCCAAGAGGUAGAGCUGGCUAUUCACAGAGGGGGGCACCUUUGGGACCACCAAGAGGCUCUAGGGGUGGCAGAGGGGGUCCUGCUCAACAGCAGAGAGGCCGUGGUUCCCGUGGAUCUCGGGGCAAUCGUGGGGGCAAUGUAGGAGGCAAGAGAAAGGCAGAUGGGUACAACCAGCCUGAUUCCAAGCGUCGUCAGACCAACAACCAACAGAACUGGGGUUCCCAACCCAUCGCUCAGCAGCCGCUUCAGCAAGGUGGUGACUAUUCUGGUAACUAUGGUUACAAUAAUGACAACCAGGAAUUUUAUCAGGAUACUUAUGGGCAACAGUGGAAGUAGACAAGUAAGGGCUUGAAAAUGAUACUGGCAAGAUACGAUUGGCUCUAGAUCUACAUUCUUCAAAAAAAAAAAUUGGCUUAACUGUUUCAUCUUUAAGUAGCAUUUUGCUGCCAUUUGUAUUGGGCUGAAGAAAUCACUAUUGUGUAUAUACUCAAGUCUUUUUAUUUUUCCUCUUUUCAUAAAUGCUCUUGGACAUUAUUGGGCUUGCAGAGUUCCCUUAUUCUGGGGAUUACAAUGCUUUUAUCGUUUCAGGCUUCAUUUUAGCUUCAAAACAAGCUGGGCACACUGUUAAAUCAUGAUUUUGCAGAACCUUUGGUUUUGGACAGUUUCAUUUUUUUGGAUUUGGGAUAGAUUACAUAGGAGUAUGGAGUAUGCUGUAAAUAAAAAUACAAGCUAGUGCUUUGUCUUAGUAGUUUUAAGAAAUUAAAGCAAACAAAUUUAAGUUUUCUUGUAUUGAAAAUAACCUAUGAUUGUAUGUUUUGCAUUCCUAGAAGUAGGUUAACUGUGUUUUUAAAUUGUUAUAACUUCACACCUUUUUGAAAUCUGCCCUACAAAAUUUGUUUGGCUUAAACGUCAAAAGCCGUGACAAUUUGUUCUUUGAUGUGAUUGUAUUUCCAAUUUCUUGUUCAUGUAAGAUUUCAAUAAAACUAAAAAAUCUAUUCAAAACAUU
rnacentral:sRNA from 1 species